AUUGAACGCUGGCGGCAGGCCUAACACAUGCAAGUCGAACGAGUGGCGGACGGGUGAGUAAUGUCUGGGAACCUGCCUGAUGGCGGGGGAUAACUACUGGAAACGGUAGCUAAUACCGCAUACCCUCAGAUGUGCCCAGAUGGUAUUAGCUAGUUGGUGGGGUAACGGCUCACCAAGGUGACGAUCCCUAGCUGGUCUGGGAGGAUGACCAGCCACACUGGAACUGAGACACGGGCCAGACUCCUACGGGAGGAAGCAGUGGGAAAUAUUGCACAAUGGGCGCAAGCCUGAUGCAGCCAUGCCGCGUGUAUGAAGAAGGCCUUCGGGUUGUAAAGUACUUUCAGAGGGGAGGCGUUAUCCGCAGAAGAAGCACCGGCUAACUCCGUGCCAGCCGCCGCGGUAAUUC
rnacentral:rRNA from 1 species